UACAGAGGUGGCAAGCGUUGUUCGGAAUUACUGGGCGUAAAGGGCGCGUAGGCGGUCUUGUAAGUCCUGUGUGAAAUCCCCCGGCUCAACUGGGGAAUUGCACGGGAAACUGCUUGGCUUGAGUUCGGGAGAGGGAAGCGGAAUUCCGGGUGUAGCGGUGAAAUGCGUAGAUAUCCGGAGGAACACCAGUGGCGAAAGCGGCUCUCUGGGGGCAACCUGACGCUGAGGCGCGAAAGCGUGGGGAGCGAACCGG
rnacentral:rRNA from 1 species